GAUGAACGCUGGCGGCGUGCCUAAUACAUGCAAGUCGAGCGAACGGACGAGAAGCUUGCUUCUCUGAUGUUAGCGGCGGACGGGUGAGUAACACGUGGAUAACCUACCUAUAAGACUGGGAUAACUUCGGGAAACCGGAGCUAAUACCGGAUAAUAUUUUGAACUGCAUGGUUCGAAAUUGAAGGGCGGCUUCGGCUGUCACUUAUGGAUGGACCCGCGUCGCAUUAGCUAGUUGGUGAGGUAACGGCUCACCAAGGCAACGAUGCGUAGCCGACCUGAGAGGGUGAUCGGCCACACUGGGACUGAGACACGGCCCAG
rnacentral:rRNA from 1 species